rnacentral:rRNA from 1 species
GGACGGAGCACGAGAAACUUUGUCUGAACAUGGGGGGACCAUCCUCCAAGGCUAAAUACUACUGACUGACCGAUAGUGAACCAGUACCGUGAGGGAAAGGCGAAAAGAACCCCGGAGAGGGGAGUGAAAUAGAACCUGAAACCGUAUGCGUACAAGCAGUGGGAGCCUACUUGUUAGGUGACUGCGUACCUUUUGUAUAAUGGGUCAGCGACUUAUAUUCAGUGGCAAGCUUAACCGUAUAGGGUAGGCGUAGCGAAAGCGAGUCUUAAUAGGGCGUUUAGUCGCUGGGUAUAGACCCGAAACCGGGCGAUCUAUCCAUGAGCAGGUUGAAGGUUAGGUAACACUGACUGGAGGACCGAACCCACUCCCGUUGAAAAGGUAGGGGAUGACUUGUGGAUCGGAGUGAAAGGCUAAUCAAGCUCGGAGAUAGCUGGUUCUCCUCGAAAGCUAUUUAGGUAGCGCCUCAUGUAUCACUCUGGGGGGUAGAGCACUGUUUCGGCUAGGGGGUCAUCCCGACUUACCAAACCGAUGCAAACUCCGAAUACCCAGAAGUGCCGAGCAUGGGAGACACACGGCGGGUGCUAACGUCCGUCGUGAAAAGGGAAACAACCCAGACCGCCAGCUAAGGUCCCAAAGUUGUGGUUAAGUGGUAAACGAUGUGGGAAGGCUUAGACAGCUAGGAGGUUGGCUUAGAAGCAGCCAUCCUUUAAAGAAAGCGUAAUAGCUCACUAGUCGAGUCGGCCUGCGCGGAAGAUGUAACGGGGCUCAAACCACACACCGAAGCUGCGGGUGUCACGUAAGUGACGCGGUAGAGGAGCGUUCUGUAAGCCUGUGAAGGUGAGUUGAGAAGCUUGCUGGAGGUAUCAGAAGUGCGAAUGCUGACAUGAGUAACGACAAUGGGUGUGAAAAACACCCACGCCGAAAGACCAAGGGUUCCUGCGCAACGUUAAUCGACGCAGGGUUAGUCGGUUCCUAAGGCGAGGCUGAAAAGCGUAGUCGAUGGGAAACAGGUUAAUAUUCCUGUACUUCUGGUUACUGCGAUGGAGGGACGGAGAAGGCUAGGCCAGCUUGGCGUUGGUUGUCCAAGUUUAAGGUGGUAGGCUGAAAUCUUAGGUAAAUCCGGGGUUUCAAGGCCGAGAGCUGAUGACGAGUCGUCUUUUAGAUGACGAAGUGGUUGAUGCCAUGCUUCCAAGAAAAGCUUCUAAGCUUCAGGUAACCAGGAACCGUACCCCAAACCGACACAGGUGGUCGGGUAGAGAAUACCAAGGCGCUUGAGAGAACUCGGGUGAAGGAACUAGGCAAAAUGGCACCGUAACUUCGGGAGAAGGUGCGCCGGCUAGGG